rnacentral:lncRNA from 1 species
UACAAAAACUGAAUCUCACCUGAAUCAAGUAAGGCCUGUAUUCCACUUGUCUAUUUUCAGCGAUAGCGGCCAAUGGUAGCCGUCGACGCUUAAUGUCAAACCAAUUCCACUAUAAAAAGCAUCGCAGAAGUACUGCAAAAUUGACCAAUAACGUAAGCGGACUCAUUGACCAAUCCAAACAGUCGUCACAUAUUUCAAAUGUAAACAACCAUGUGUCUUAUCGUCACGUGCAUAACUAUAGCUAUCGUCAUACAAAUACUGUCUUUUUAUUGGAUAUUGAAAGCGGCCAAGUCAAGCGAUAGCGUCAAAUUUUCAACAUGUUGAGAUCUAGCGGUGCAUUGUGGAG